CACCACAGUCAGUUUUGGAACAUUUUUGUCACCAUAAAGAGAAACCCUGUACCCUUUGGCAGGCUCCUCUC